rnacentral:pre_miRNA from 11 species
GCCCUCUGACUCUCUUCGGUGACGGGUAUUCUUGGGUGGAUAAUACGGAUUACGUUGUUAUUGCUUAAGAAUACGCGUAGUCGAGGAGAGUAUCAGCGGC